rnacentral:lncRNA from 1 species
ACCGAUUUACAUGCCACCUCACCUAACAGUUAUUGGUGACACAUAAACAGAUGAGUGUACAACUCUUGUACAAUGUUUCUUAAGCAUGUUGCUGUGCUACUUGGUCUCUAAGUCAUGAAGACCUCACCUAACAGUUAUUGGUCCCAUUUCUUAGUUAAGUCCAACCCACCGUAUAACCGUAGAAAUAAAGUCGUCAUUGGGUCCUCACCUAACAGUUAUUGGUCCCCN